rnacentral:rRNA from 1 species
AGCUUGCUGCUUCGCUGACGAGUGGCGGACGGGUGAGUAAUGUCUGGGAAACUGCCUGAUGGAGGGGGAUAACUACUGGAAACGGUAGCUAAUACCGCAUAACGUCGCAAGACCAAAGAGGGGGACCUUCGGGCCUCUUGCCAUCGGAUGUGCCCAGAUGGGAUUAGCUAGUAGGUGGGGUAACGGCUCACCUAGGCGACGAUCCCUAGCUGGUCUGAGAGGAUGACCAGCCACACUGGAACUGAGACACGGUCCAGACUCCUACGGGAGGCAGCAGUGGGGAAUAUUGCACAAUGGGCGCAAGCCUGAUGCAGCCAUGCCGCGUGUAUGAAGAAGGCCUUCGGGUUGUAAAGUACUUUCAGCGGGGAGGAAGGGAGUAAAGUUAAUACCUUUGCUCAUUGACGUUACCCGCAGAAGAAGCACCGGCUAACUCCGUGCCAGCAGCCGCGGUAAUACGGAGGGUGCAAGCGUUAAUCGGAAUUACUGGGCGUAAAGCGCACGCAGGCGGUUUGUUAAGUCAGAUGUGAAAUCCCCGGGCUCAACCUGGGAACUGCAUCUGAUACUGGCAAGCUUGAGUCUCGUAGAGGGGGGUAGAAUUCCAUAGUUAGCCGGUGAGAAGAGGACAGUGGAACUCCAUGU